rnacentral:rRNA from 1 species
UACCCGCUGGAAUUAAGCAUAUUAUUAAGCGGAGGAAAAGAAACUAACUAGGAUUCCCCCAGUAAGGGCGACUGAAGCGGGAAAAGCUCAAGAUGUUAAUCGGCGUCUCGGCGCUGAAUUGUGGUCUAUAGAUUCUCACGCUAUUGGUAGGGUUAAGUCCCUUGGAACAGGGCGGCAUAGAGGGUGAAACCCCCGUAAACCUUACCUUUCGAGUGAGUAUCAACGAGUCGAGUUGUUUGGGAUUGCAGCUCUAAGCAGGUGGUAAAUUCCAUCGAAAGCUAAAUAUUGGUGGGAAACCGAUAGUGUACAAGUACCGUGAGGGAAAGAUGCAAAGAACUUUGAAAAGAGAGUUAAAGAGUACCUGAAAUUGCUGAAAGGGAAGCGAAGGAAACCAGUGUUGAUUGAAUCAUAUUUUCUUGUUUGCUUGCAGGCAGGACGCUGUGAUAGAUCUAGUCUCACUUGGUUGAAUUGAAUUCAACUGCACAGGGGGAGUUGACCCCUGUUUGCUGGAUUUAGCUUGACUGAGCUGAGACAAAAUGGUUUUCUUCUCCCCGUCUUGAAACACGGGACCAAGGAA